rnacentral:rRNA from 1 species
AUGGGGAGCACCGACGAGACUGGGACUCCCUAUGGCGAGUACACCUAUGCUGAGCUGGAGAGGGAGCUGUACUGGCCAUCCGAGAAGCUGAGGAUCUCGGUUACUGGAGCUGGUGGUUUCAUUGGAUCCCAUAUCGCUCGCCGCCUGAAGAGUGAGGGGCACUACAUCAUUGCCUCUGACUGGAAGAAGAACGAGCAUAUGACCGAGGACAUGUUCUGCCAUGAGUUCCACCUUGCUGACCUCAGGGUCAUGGACAACUGCCUUAAGGUUACCACCAACGUCGACCAUGUCUUCAAUCUCGCUGCUGAUAUGGGAGGCAUGGGCUUCAUUCAGUCCAACCACUCUGUUAUCAUGUACAACAACACCAUGAUCAGCUUCAACAUGCUUGAGGCCGGGCGUAUCAACGGCGUGAAGAGGUUCUUCUAUGCCUCGAGCGCAUGCAUCUACCCUGAAUUCAAACAGCUUGAGACAAAUGUGAGCUUGAAGGAAGCUGAUGCCUGGCCUGCUGAGCCACAAGAUGCCUAUGGCUUGGAGAAGCUCGCGACCGAGGAGCUGUGCAAGCACUACACCAAGGACUUUGACAUCGAGUGCCGUAUUGGCCGUUUUCACAACAUUUACGGUCCCUUUGGAACAUGGAAAGGCGGUCGCGAGAAGGCACCAGCUGCCUUCUGUAGAAAGGCUCAGACCUCCACCGAACAGUUCGAGAUGUGGGGUGAUGGUCUCCAGACUCGAUCGUUCACUUUUAUCGACGAGUGCGUCGAGGGUGUUCUGAGAUUGACAAAGUCGGACUUCUGCGAGCCCGUGAACAUCGGAAGCGAUGAAAUGGUGAGCAUGAACGAGAUGGCUGAGAUUGUUCUCGGCUUCGAGGACAAGAAGCUGCCCAUCCACCACAUCCCUGGUCCAGAGGGUGUCCGUGGCCGCAACUCUGACAACACCCUCAUCAAGGAGAAGCUUGGGUGGGCCCCCACAAUGAGGCUCAAGGAUGGCCUAAGGUUCACCUACUUCUGGAUCAAGGAGCAGAUUGAGAAGGAGAGGACCGAGGGGAAGGACGUCGCCCUGUAUGGAUCGUCCAAGGUGGUGUCCACACAGGCGCCCGUGCAGCUGGGCUCCCUCCGCGCGGCUGACGGCAAGGAGUAA